UACGUAGGGCGCAAGCGUUGUCCGGAAUUAUUGGGCGUAAAGAGCUCGUAGGCGGCUUGUCACGUCGGAUGUGAAAGCCCGGGGCUUAACCCCGGGUCUGCAUUCGAUACGGGCAGGCUAGAGUGUGGUAGGGGAGAUCGGAAUUCCUGGUGUAGCGGUGAAAUGCGCAGAUAUCAGGAGGAACACCGGUGGCGAAGGCGGCAUCCUGGACCGACAUUGACGCUGAGGAGCGAAAGCUAGGGGAGCAAACGGG
rnacentral:rRNA from 1 species